UUGAGGCAGGAGAAUUGCUUGAACCUGAGAGGCGGAGGUUGCAGUGAGCCUAGACGGCGACAUUUCGCUCCAGCCUGGCUGACAGAGCAAGACUCUGUUUAUCCCCCCACCCCACCCCCAAAAAAACAAACAAAAUGUAUCUACAGUGUAACAAGUGAGGAAAGUGGUUACUUUAAGGAGGUAGGAGGCUAAUGCUUGGGAAGGACACAAAGGCAAGUUUCCGGGGGUGCUGAUAAUGUUCUGUUUCUUGACCCAGGCAUUGUCACUGUGGGGAGUGUGUGUUCACUUUGGAAUAAUUCGGUCAGUUCGACCCAUGGGUUGUGUAUAUAUAUUUUCCUGGCAGGUGAGUUGUGGACACUCCACUCCUUGGUGGAUUUUGGCUUCCAUGGCUACCGUCCUGAUGCUUUGUACAUUUUUCUGAUAAGAGCUUCAGUGAGAGCUUUUACAAAUCAACCGAAAGAAUAAACUACGAAGAGGAAAAUGGCCUGGAAAAAUAUGAUUUCAUACACAUAAGCUUUCCAGACACUCUUGUCUCCUGGCUCCUGUCCAAGCACAGUGGCCAGCCAUCUAGGCAGCCUUCCGCCUUUGUCUGCAGCCCUCCCCUCCUCUCACUCCAGGGGCUCUUUAUUGAUCGCCUCCCCGCCAGACCUUCCGUUGCCAUGGUAACGCCCCCCCCCCCACCGCGUAGUUCUGCACUUUUCUCUCCGAGGCUCAAAACAAGCAUUGCAGAAACGGUUCUUUGGAAUGUGAGACAGGAUCUCCCUAUGUUGUCCAGGCUGGUCUGGAACUCCUGAGCUCAAGCAACCUGCUCACCUCAGCCUCCUAGAGUGGUGGGAUUACAGAUUACCCCUGACCAUGGUGGCAGAGGGAGUGCUUCUGUUGUACCAAAUGGAAACUGCCUGAGAUGGCAGCCAUCACCUAGAAGCUACCCACGGACAAAGCCAUGUCGUCUACCCCACAUUAACAUUGAGGUACCAGAAAUAAGGAAAGUCCUUAUGACUCUGAGAGACCUAAAGGGGGUUUGCAGGGUGAGUGAUGGGGUCUGUUUGGUGAGUAAUGAUAUGGCCUAUGAAUACAAUGAUGAGGAAUCUGUGGUCGGAGUGCUGGGGGUUCUGGGAUCCUGCAUGCUGGGUGAUGGGCUCUGUGGGGGUUAGAUAUGCAGUAUUGGGGCAGUGAGUGACAGGAGUGACUCCAUCAUGGCUUGAGGCAUCCUCAACCUCCUGGGCUCAAACAAUCCUCCCACCUCAGCCUCCUGAGUAGCUGGGACCACAGGCAUGCGGCACCACGCCUGGCUAAUUUUUUAGUUUUUUGUAGAGAGAGGGGUUUUGACAUGUUGCCCAGGUUGGUCUCAAACUACCAGGCUCAAGUGAUCUGCCUGCUCCAGCCUCCCAAAGUGCUGGGAUUACAGGCAUGACUCACCUUGCCUGGCCGAUUUUCAUUUCUCUAGAUUAAGUGCCCAAGAACGCAAUUGCUGCAUCAUAUGUUUAAUUUUAUAAGA
rnacentral:lncRNA from 13 species